rnacentral:rRNA from 1 species
UACGGAGGGGGCUAGCGUUGUUCGGAAUUACUGGGCGUAAAGGGCGCGUAGGCGGCGUGACAAGUCACUUGUGAAAUCUCCGGGCUUAACUCGGAACGGUCAAGUGAUACUGUCGUGCUAGAGUACAGAAGGGGCAACUGGAAUUCUCGGUGUAGCGGUGAAAUGCGUAGAUAUCGAGAGGAACACCUGCGGCGAAGGCGGGUUGCUGGGCUGAUACUGACGCUGAGGCGCGAAAGCCAGGGGAGCGAACGGG